GAUGAAGAACGUAGCAAAAUGCGAUACUUGGUGUGAAUUGCAGAAUCCCGUGAACCAUCGAGUUUUUGAACGCAAGUUGCGCCCGAAGCCUUUUGGCCGAGGGCACGUCUGCCUGGGCGUCACGCAUCGCGUCGCCCCCCACAAUUCUCCGGAAGGGGAACUCGUGGUUUGGGGGCGGAUAUUGGUCUCCCGUGCUCACGGCGUGGUUGGCCGAAAUAGGAGUCCCUUCGAUGGACGCACGAACUAGUGGUGGUCGUAAAAACCCUCGUCUUUUGUUUCGUGCUGUUAGUCGCAAGGGAAACUCUAAGAAAACCCCAACGUGUCGUCUUUUGACGGCGCUUCGACCGCGACCCCAGGUCAGGCGGGACUACCCGCUGAGUUUAAGCAUAUCAAUAAGCGGAGGA
rnacentral:misc_RNA from 1 species